rfam:Schistosoma mansoni strain Puerto Rico chromosome 1, complete genome
AUCCGGCUGACGAGUCCAAAAUAGUACGAAAUGCGCGUUCUGUAU